GACGAACGCUGGCGGCGUGCCUAAUACAUGCAAGUAGAACGCUGAAGGAGGAGCUUGCUCUUCUGGAUGAGUUGCGAACGGGUGAGUAACGCGUAGGUAACCUGCCUGGUAGCGGGGGAUAACUAUUGGAAACGAUAGCUAAUACCGCAUAACAGUAGAUGUUGCAUGACAUUUGCUUAAAAGGUGCAAUUGCACCACUACCAGAUGGACCUGCGUUGUAUUAGCUAGUUGGUGGGGUAACGGCUCACCAAGGCGACGAUACAUGGCCGACCUGAGAGGGGGAUCGGCCACACUGGGACUGAGACACGGCCCAGACUCCUACGGGAGGCAGCAGUAGGGAAUCUUCGGCAAUGGACGGAAGUCUGACCGAGCAACGCCGCGUGAGUGAAGAAGGUUUUCGGAUCGUAAAGCUCUGUUGUAAGAGAAGAACGAGUGUGAGAGUGGAAAGUUCACACUGUGACGGUAUCUUACCAGAAAGGGACGGCUAACUACGUG
rnacentral:rRNA from 1 species